UUCCGGUUGAUCCUGCCGGACCCCACUGCUAUCGAGGUGGGACUAAGCCAUGCUAGUUGAGCGCACAGAACUAUGUCUGUGAGCGGCACACUGCUCAGUAACACGUAGCUAACCUACCCUUAGGACGUGGACAACCCCGAGAAAUUGGGGCUAAUCCGCGAUAGAUGUAUUGUCCUGGAAUGGUAUUACGUCUAAAGGUAUCCCAUACAUGUUUGGUAUAUGCCUAAGGAUGGGGCUGCGGCCGAUCAGGCUGUUGGUGAGGUAAUGGCUCACCAAACCUUUGACCGGUACGGGCCAUGAGAGUGGUAGCCCGGAGAUGGACACUGAGACAAGGGUCCAGGCCCUACGGGGCGCAGCAGGCGCGAAACCUCCUCAAUGCACUUACGUGCGAAGGGGCUACCUCGAGUGCCACCUGAUGAAGGUGGCUUUUCCUAGGUCUAAAAAGCCUUGGGAAUAAGAGGGGGGCAAGACUGGUGUCAGCCGCCGCGGUAACACCAGCCCCUCGAGUGGUGGGGAUGAUUAUUGGGCCUAAAGCGUCCGUAGCCUGCCGUGUAAGUUUCCCGUUAAAUCCAGCGUCUCAAGCGUUGGACCGCGGGAAAUACUGUACGGCUAGAGAGUGGGAGAGGUCAGCGGUAUUCUGGGGGUAGGGGCGAAAUCCUUUGAUCCCCGGAGGACCACCAGUGGCGAAGGCUGCUGA
rnacentral:rRNA from 1 species